AACUUUCAACAACGGAUCUCUUGGCUCUCGCAUCGAUGAAGAACGCAGCGAAAUGCGAUAAGUAAUGUGAAUUGCAGAAUUCAGUGAAUCAUCGAAUCUUUGAACGCACAUUGCGCCCCUUGGUAUUCCUUGGGGCAUGCCUGUUUGAGCGUC
rnacentral:rRNA from 1 species